rnacentral:rRNA from 1 species
UACGAAGGCGCCAAGCGUUAUCCGGAUUUAUUGGGCGUAAAGAGUUCAACGGCGGUCACGUCAGUCAGAGGUCAAAUCGUGGGGCUCAACCCCAUGCCGGCUUUUGAUACUGCGCGACUUGAGGGUGGAAGAGGUGAGCGGAACGGCCGGUGUAGUAGUAAAAUGCGUUAAUAUCGGCUGGAACACCAAUGGCGAAGGCAGCUCACUAGGACACUCCUGACGCUCUAUGAACGAAAGCGUGGGUCGCGAAUGGG